rnacentral:lncRNA from 1 species
AUUUUGGACAUUGUUCUCCAUACAUGUUCUGUGGUAAAAUCUCAAAUCAAGUGUUUAGGUGAAAGUUCGUGGAAAAUCAGUCUACUGAGGAAUUCCACCAUGGAAAAUAAUUAAGAAAGUUCAAGGUAAUAGGAAAGAAAGGAGGCCAAGUCAAUGAAAGGCUGAGCCAAGCCCUAGGAAAACAAAGACAUCCUCCAGUACCGAUUGCUUCGUUAUCAAGCCGUGUCUGCAAAAUGC